rnacentral:lncRNA from 1 species
AAACACAAUAAAAUAAAUAGAAAAAUAAGCUCUAGUUUAUACGAUGAUCAAACAAAAAUUCAAUAUUAAACGCAAUUGCUCCCCAACAACAGCGCCAAAAACAUGAUGCUGCCACAAGUGCACGAAUGUGAGAAGUAAUAAAAGAUAUCGAACCAUAAAGACCAAUGGCUUAAGUACCGAAUUUCGUCCUAUCGGUGUAUAUCUAGAGAAAUAAAAAAUAUGGAUUUUUGUAAAAAUAACUUAAAUUAAA